rnacentral:rRNA from 1 species
GAUGAACGCUGGCGGCGUGCCUAAUACAUGCAAGUCGAGCGAACGGACGAGAAGCUUGCUUCUCUGAUGUUAGCGGCGGACGGGUGGGUAACACGUGGAUAACCUACCUAUAAGACUGGGAUAACUUCGGGAAACCGGAGCUAAUACCGGAUAAUAUUUUGAACCGCAUGGUUCAAAAGUGAAAGACGGUCUUGCUGUCACUUAUAGAUGGAUCCGCGCUGCAUUAGCUAGUUGGUAAGGUAACGGCUUACCAAGGCAACGAUGCAUAGCCGACCUGAGAGGGUGAUCGGCCACACUGGAACUGAGACACGGUCCAGACUCCUACGGGAGGCAGCAGUAGGGAAUCUUCCGCAAUGGGCGAAAGCCUGACGGAGCAACGCCGCGUGAGUGAUGAAGGUCUUCGGAUCGUAAAACUCUGUUAUUAGGGAAGAACAUAUGUGUAAGUAACUGUGCACAUCUUGACGGUACCUGAUCAGAAAGCCACGGCUAACUACGUG